rnacentral:rRNA from 1 species
UAAGCCCGGGAAACUGGGUCUAAUACUGGAUGCUACAUGUCACCGCAUGGUGGUGUGUGGAAAGGGUUUACUGGUCUUGGAUGGGCUCACGGCCUAUCAGCUUGUUGGUGAGGUAAUGGCUCACCAAGGCGACGACGGGUAGCCGGCCUGAGAGGGUGACCGGCCACACUGGGACUGAGACACGGCCCAGACUCCUACGGGAGGCAGCAGUGGGGAAUAUUGCACAAUGGGCGAAAGCCUGAUGCAGCGACGCCGCGUGAGGGAUGACGGCCUUCGGGUUGUAAACCUCUUUCAGCAGGGAAGAAGCCACAAGUGACGGUACCUGCAGAAGAAGCGCCGGCUAACUACGUGCCAGCAGCCGCGGUAAUACGUAGGGCGCAAGCGUUGUCCGGAAUUAUUGGGCGUAAAGAGCUCGUAGGCGGUUUGUCGCGUCUGCUGUGAAAGCCCGGGGCUUAACCCCGGGUGUGCAGUGUGUACGGGCAGACUAGAGUGCAGUAGGGGAGACUGGAAUUCCUGGUGUAGCGGUGGAAUGCGCAGAUAUCAGGAGGAAC